UACGUAGGGUGCGAGCGUUAAUCGGAAUUACUGGGCGUAAAGUGUGCGCAGGCGGCCGAGCAAGUCGAGUGUGAAAGCCCCGAGCUUAACUUGGGAACUGCGCUCGAAACUACUUGGCUAGAGUGUGGCAGAGGGAGGUGUAAUUCCACGUGUAGCGGUGAAAUGCGUAGAGAUGUGGAGGAACACCGAUGGCGAAGGCAGCCUCCUGGGCCAACACUGACGCUCAUGCACGAAAGCGUGGGGAGCAAACAGG
rnacentral:rRNA from 1 species